rnacentral:rRNA from 1 species
ACGGAAGGCAGCAGUGGGGAAUAUUGGACAAUGGGCGAAAGCCUGAUCCAGCGACGCCGCGUGAGUGAAGAAGUAUUUCGGUAUGUAAAGCUCUAUCAGCAGGGAAGAUAAUGACGGUACCUGACUAAGAAGCCCCGGCUAACUACGUGCCAGCAGCCGCGGUAAUACGUAGGGGGCAAGCGUUAUCCGGAUUUACUGGGUGUAAAGGGAGCGUAGAUGGCGAUGUAAGUCUGAAGUGAAAGCCCGGGGCUUAACCCCGGGACUGCUUUGGAAACUGUGUUGCUAGAGUGCAGGAGGGGUAAGCGGAAUUCCUAGUGUAGCGGUGAAAUGCGUAGAUAUUAGGAGGAACACCAGUGGCGAAGGCGGCUUACUGGACUGUAACUGACAUUGAGGCUCGAAAGCGUGGGGAGCAAACAGGAUUAGAUACCCUGGUA